AUAGAAUUAAAUAUUAAUCCAUAUAAUCUUAGAGAUAGGGUCUAAGAGUUUCUACUGGAAAGCCGUAAACUUUCCUUCUAUGGGUAAAUCUAUAAU
rnacentral:ncRNA from 1 species